rnacentral:lncRNA from 1 species
ACUGUUUCAAUCUCCUUGGAGGGGUGGCAGGGAACUUCCCCAAAAGUGACUGACAGACGGGCUGCUUGGAGCUCUGAGGGCCUCAAGGAGAGCGGAGGAGGGGCUGCCUUCAGCUGGGAAGAGAUGGGAUCUCCCUGUGUUGCCCAGGGUGGUCUCAAACUCCUGGGCUCAGGUGAUCCUCCCACCUUGGCCUCCCAAAGUGCUGGAAAUUACACAGAGUUUCACUCUUGUUGCCCAGGCUGGAGUGCAAUGGCACAAUCUCAGCUCACUGCAGCCUCCACCUCCCAGGUUCAAGCAAUUCUCCUGCCUCAACCUCCUAAGUAGCUGGGAUUACAGCCUUGGAAGACAAGGGGACCUGGUUGCACUAGUGAUCUGGGCCUCCAAACACAAAAACUGAACAUCGCUGACUGGCGGCGCUUGCUGACUACUCCCACCAUGGCUGCGUUCAGGAUACCAGUGUGAGCGUUGCAGCACUGGGACAGGAGCGCGCAGUCUGCUCCGUGAACCAUAGCGCUAGCUCUGCCACACCACGGGAACAAUUCUCCUGAAUCCCCCGCGGAAAAGACUAGAAUUAUUCUUUCUUUCUUCUUUUUUCUUUCUUUUUUUAGUCGUAGUUUCCCUCUUGUUGCCCAGGCUGGAGUGCAAUGGCACCAUCUCAGCUCACUGCAACUUCUGCCCCCUGGGUUCAAGUGAUUCUCCUGACUCAGCCUUCCAAAUAGCUGGGAUUACAGGUGUCUGCCACCAUGCCUGGCUAAUUUUUGUAUUUUUAGUAGAGAUGGGGUUUCACCACAUUGGCCAGGCUGGUCUCGGAACUUCUGACCUCAGAUGAUUCGCCUGCCUUGGCCUCCCAAAGUGCUGGGAUUACAGACGUGAGCCACCACAUCCGACCCUAGAAUUAUUAUUUCUUUAUCAGCAAAACAGAAAUUAAGUUGAAAUUAAAAAAACAUACAAAUCUAUCUUUCUUGCCUACCUGAUUUAUGGACAGAGAUUGUAUGUUACUUAAUUAUAAACAAAGAAAGUGACUGACCUGGCUAAACCCAU